ACGCUGGCGGCACGCCUAACACAUGCAAGUCGAACGAAGUAGCAAUACUUAGUGGCAGACGGGUGAGUAACAUGUAGGUAUCUGCCCUUUGGCCUGGAAUAACACGAGGAAACUUGUGCUAAUACCGGAUAAGUCUUUACGGAGAAAGCUUUAUGCACCAUUGGAUGAGCCUGCACUUGAUUAGUUUGUUGGUGGGGUAAUGGCCUACCAAGACUGUGAUCAAUAGCUGAUUUGAGAGGAUGAUCAGCCACAUUGGGACUGAGACACGGCCCAAACUCCUACGGGAGGCAGCAGUGGGGAAUCUUGCACAAUGGAGGAAACUCUGAUGCAGCGAUGCCGCGUGAGUGAAGAAGGCCUUUGGGUUGUAAAGCUCUUUCGUCGGGGAAGAAAAUGACUGUACCCGAAUAAGAAGGUCCGGCUAACUUCGUGCCAGCAGCCGCGGUAAUACGAAGGGACCUAGCGUAGUUCGGAAUUACUGGGCUUAAAGAGUUCGUAGGUGGUUGAAAAAGUUAGUGGUGAAAUCCCAGAGCUUAACUCUGGAACUGCCAUUAAAACUUUUCAGCUAGAGUAUGAUAGAGGAAAGCAGAAUUUCUAGUGUAGAGGUGAAAUUCGUAGAUAUUAGAAAGAAUACCAAUUGCGAAGGCAGCUUUCUGGAUCAUUACUGACACUGAGGAACGAAAGCAUGGGUAGCGAAGAGGAUUAGAUACCCUCGUAGUCCAUGCCGUAAACGAUGUGUGUUAGACGUUGGAAAUUUAUUUUCAGUGUCGCAGGGAAACCGAUAAACACACCGCCUGGGGAGUACGACCGCAAGGUUAAAACUCAAAUGAAUUGACGGGGACCCGCACAAGUAGUGGAGCAUGUGGUUUAAUUCGAAGAUACGCGCAGAACCUUACCAACACUUGACAUGUUCGUCGCGACUCUAAGAGAUUAGAGUUUUCGGUUCGGCCGGACGAAACACAGGUGCUGCAUGGCUGUCGUCAGCUCGUGUCGUGAGAUGUUGGGUUAAGUCCCGCAACGAGCGCAACCCUCACUUUUAGUUGCCAUCAUUAAGUUGGGCACUCUGAAAGAACUGCCAGUGAUAAGCUGGAGGAAGGUGGGGAUGACGUCAAGUCCUCAUGGCCCUUACGUGUUGGGCUACACACGUGCUACAAUGGUAUCUACAACAGGAAGCAAGACUGCGAAGUUAAGCAAAUCCCUAAAAGAUACCUCAGUUCGGAUUGCACUCUGCAACUCGAGUGCAUGAAGUUGGAAUUACUAGUAAUCGUGGAUCAGCGUGCCACGGUGAAUGCGUUCCCGGGUCUUGUACUCACCGCCCGUCA
rnacentral:rRNA from 1 species